rnacentral:rRNA from 1 species
UACGAAGAGGGCUAGCGUUGUUCGGAAUUACUGGGCGUAAAGAGCUCGUAGGUGGAUCGUCAAGUUGGAGGUGAAAUCCCGGGGCUUAACCUCGGAACUGCCUUCGAUACUGUAUAUCUGGAGUAUGGUAGGGGAGUGUGGAAUUCCUAGUGUAGAGGUGAAAUGCGUAGAUAUUAGGAGGAACACCAGUGGCGAAGGCGGGACUCUGGGCAAAUACUGACGUUGAGGAGCGAAAGCGUGGGGAGCAAACAGG